CUGCUGCUCUGCACACUGACCCCUUCACCAGGAAUCGCUCUGAAAAUAAUUUAAAAAGUCCUUUCAACUACUGCUGCUCUGCACGCUGACUCACUUCACCAGGAAUCUUUCCAGAAACAUGUUACCAGAUCUUCUCGAUCCAACUAUUACUGCCCUGAAGCCUUAAAAUCAAGAGCUCGGAACACUCAUUCAUGUGAAUGACUCGCAAGUGGUUUUUUUCAAUGACUGUCUAUAAUUAUGCAUGAUUAACUUAACUCUUAUUAACUCAAUAACAUGACUAACCUCACUAACUUAAUUAGGCAGUUAAUAUAAAAACCACUUGUUGAGUUUUACUAUGAAGGUCUUAAUGGGGUUACGUGGAAGACACCGCUGCAUGAUUAAUCAGGGUAACCAACUUCAAGCCAAGUGCUCUUCAACGCUCAAGUUGCUCAUGAGUGAGAACAAUCAUUUGACCUACUAAUUAUGCUGUCCGUCCGUCCGUCCGUCCGUCUCUUCACCAGAG